UAGUUAAGGCAGUGCGUCACUAUACUGCUUAUUACUACAUAGUCUAAUUUGGUAUAUGCUUUGAUUAUGGAUUUAUGAUAAUCAAAAGUUAUAUGGUAUAACCAAUUGUCGUUAGCUCAAUUGGUAAAGACCUUAGGCGAAGCUUAGAGGUCGCCGGUUCGUGUGAUGUUUGGGACGAAACUAAUAUUACAUGCUGUGGUUUCGGGCCUGAGGGGAUUACGGGCUUCGGCCCAAAACUUCUUGGAUUUCAAAAAAUAAAAAUAAAAAAGUUAUAUGGUAUAUUCUUUUGGAUAUUUCAUUCUCUUUUUAAUUUCGUUUCGCCUUAACCGCAUUCUCUAAUUAAAAAUUUAGGUACAUGAUUCACACUUUUACAGUUUAGCAAUGUAUACAGUUUCGAAACAAAUUCAGUUUCCAAUGCCCAUGAAAACGCGUAUAAUAC
rnacentral:sRNA from 1 species